UCGCUCUCUUCCCUCACCAAAAAAUAAAAAAGAAAGAAAAGAGAAAAAAAGGAAACGUCGCUCUCCCCUUCCUCCCAUCGCCUCCAGGUCUCCAGUGCUCCAUCCGCCAUCGCCUCCAGUGCUCCCGCCGCCAUCGCCGGCGCACGGCACUGACCGGAAAACACGCUCUCAGCUAGGCGCCAGCACCGCCGCCGCUUCCAGGUUCGGAGCGCGCUUGACCGGCAGCAGGCCUCCAUUGCCCCGGCCAGGUCGCAGGUGUAGCUCCAAGAACAUGUGUUCUGUGGCGUGUAUUGAUGGCCAAUAGCGAGUACGAGUAUGUGAAGAGGGAAUUCGAGUUCGACCAUCACCUCCCGGCCUCCAACUGGAUCAUUGUCUGCUUAGAUGGCUGUCAUUUCCACCGUUUUGUUUUCAGAGAGGGAACAGAAUUCUGUCAAAGACUUCUCUACCAAUAAUUGCAGCAAAAUUCUCUCUUUGUGUGUUUCUUACAUCACACCUGUGUAUGUGAUGAAGUUGAAAGAUUUCUUUCCAAAUAAAGAGUUGAGAGAGGCUCCAUAUUUUGAUGGGCGAGUUGUAUGCUAUCCAAAUAUGAAGACCAUUCGUGAUUAUUUGGCAUGGAGGCAACUGGACUGUCAUAGAAAUAAUCAUUAAAAUACAUGCUUCUGGACAUUAGUGAUAUCUGAAAAAACUGAAAAAGAGGCACAACAAGCAUUGAAGGUAA